UCCCGCUCCAGACAGACGCAGGUUAAGAUCCUCCCUGAGAUUUUUGCCAAUAUACAUACAAAAAAAAUGUUUCCUACAAACAUCUAAUGGAAGUGAUCAGUUACAUAAUAGUCAGAGCCAUCCUUUCCCGCAUAAGAAUUGGAAUUUUCAAGCCAAGAAUCCGUUUCCUGGAAAAAGAAAAUCCUGGAAAAAUACUUAAAGGUUGAAGUUCAUCCUAGCUUUGAAGUGCCUUCUUACAAUGAGCCAGCAAGUUUAAAUGGUGAUAACAGAGGCAUGAGGCAACAAAUGUCAGAGUACAGAGUCAUGCAAGAUGCCACUCGCAUCGUGUUUGCCAGCAUUCCAAUGGCCAAAGAAGACUGAAUGGUCAAGUCCACUCUCAAAAAGAUGAAUAUAAAACCAGCAUGGUGCAGCUGCUCCUGAGAGCCAGCAGAUUUGUAUGCAGUGACCCAGAGAAGGAGAUCAAAGCCAUAGUAGUGCUAUAUUCUACCAGGUCCUGUUUUCCUUCCCAGCCAACUUCUUCCCUCCUGAAUAAUAGCAAUGGAAUAAAGCGCCUGGAGGAGGAUGCCUUUCAUUUCUGUCUGUCAAUCACUGUGAUUUGAACAGAUCACUGCUUCCUAUUGGCCCUCUAAUAUUUUUCCUGGGGAGCUGUGGAUACACAGAUACUUGCUUUGAAACCAUUGGAAUGUUAUUAAGGAUAAAGUUUUGAUGAACACAGGGCCCUUACCAAUGUUUUCAGUGGCUCCCAUGACUCACCAAUAAAUCCCCAACUCUGUCUAAUCUACCUACGCACUUUCUAACCCCCAAAGUAUAUUCUGUCAUACAGUGGGGCGAUUUUUUUUUUCAGGAACAUUUUCUGGACUAGUCAGUUCUAAACUUCAGAUGCGGACUGUAGUUAUCCAUGGUCUUUCAGACAGGAAAGCUUUUAGUGGGUAUUUGACUUGGUGUUCAGAUAAGACUUCAAACAGCUCUAGGAUAUAAGGAAGGGAAUCCUCUCUAGAGAAGAAUGCUCACUGCACAGGA